rnacentral:rRNA from 1 species
GACGAACGCUGGCGGCGUGCUUAACACAUGCAAGUCGAACGAAAAUACCAAGCUUGCUUGGUUGAUUAGUGGCGAACGGGUGAGUAACACGUGAGUAACCUGCCCCUUACUUUCCUGGAUAACUGCUCGAAAGGGUAGCUAAUACGGGAUAUUCUGACCAGCCUGCAUGGGUUGGUUUGGAAAGGUUGUUUUUCUGGUAAGGGAUGGGCUCGCGGCCUAUCAGCUUGUUGGUGGGGUGAUGGCCUACCAAGGCCUUGACGGGUAGCCGGCCUGAGAGGGUGGACGGUCACACGGGGACUGAGAUACGGCCCAGACUCCUACGGGAGGCAGCAGUGGGGAAUAUUGCACAAUGGGCGCAAGCCUGAUGCAGCGACGCCGCGUGAGGGAUGAAGGCCUUCGGGUUGUAAACCUCUUUCGUCAGGGAACAAGGCACUGCUUUUUUGGUGGUGUUGAGGGUACCUGGAUAAGAAGCGCCGGCUAACUACGUG